CUACCUUAUGACUUGAAGUUUAAAUAUCCUCAGGGUAGUUUGGACAGUGAUGUGAAUUAUCAUAGACAGAGGAGGGCUGGGGGCAAAUCCAGUCAAAUGGCCCGUUGCACCAUUGAAUCAGCUCACCAUCCACACCCACCUUUUCCUUGUUUUAUAACAGAUAUUGAUGUUAUGAAGCAAGACAAAUAUGAUACAAUGUGGUUUAACAUAGCUUUGCAUGCUACUUUACCAACAAGAUUGAAC